rnacentral:rRNA from 1 species
AGAGUUUGAUCAUGGCUCAGAAUCAACGCUGGCGGCGUGCCUAACACAUGCAAGUCGAACGAGAAAGUGGAGCAAUCCAUGAGUAAAGUGGCGCACGGGUGAGUAACACGUGACUAACCUACCCUUGAGUGGGGAAUAACCUGGAGAAAUCCGGGCUAAUACCGCAUAACACCUACGGGUCAAAGGAGCAAUUCGCUUAAGGAGGGGGUCGCGGCAGAUUAGCUAGUUGGCGGGGUAAUGGCCCACCAAGGCGGUGAUCUGUAUCCGGCCUGAGAGGGCGCACGGACACACUGGAACUGAAACACGGUCCAGACUCCUACGGGAGGCAGCAGUGGGGAAUUUUGCGCAAUGGGGGAAACCCUGACGCAGCAACGCCGCGUGGAGGAUGAAGUCCCUUGGGACGUAAACUCCUUUCGACCGGGACGAUGAUGACGGUACCGGAAGAAGAAGCCCCGGCUAACUUCGUGCCAGCAGCCGCGGUAAUACGAGGGGGGCAAGCGUUGUUCGGAAUUAUUGGGCGUAAAGGGUGCGUAGGCGGUUCGGUAAGUCUUGUGUGAAAUCUUCGGGCUCAACUCGAAGUCUGCACGAGAAACUGCCGGGCUUGAGUGUGGGAGAGGUGAGUGGAAUUUCCGGUGUAGCGGUGAAAUGCGUAGAUAUCGGAAGGAACACCUGUGGCGAAAGCGGCUCACUGGACCACAACUGACGCUGAGGCACGAAAGCUAGGGGAGCAAACAGGAUUAGAUACCCUAGUAGUCC